rnacentral:lncRNA from 10 species
AGUGCUGGGAUUACAGGCGUGAGCCACCGCGCCCGGCUGAAACUAUUUUCUUAGUAAAACUAAGUUUUCUGCCUUUUAUACUGUAGUAGCAUUUGUGCUAAUGGUGCAAAAGCUAUGGUGGGUAAUACUGCCGGUGUCUUAGCAUAAAUCAAGGCAUAAAUCAAAGCAUAAAUCAAAUUGUACAACUAGACAUAGUAUUCACCACCAUAGACUUGCAGGACUUUUUGUUGUUGUUGUUGUUUUUACAUGUUUUUGUUUUUGAGACAGAGUCUCGCUCUGUCACCCAGGCUGGAGUGCAGUGGUGAGAUCUCUGCUCACUGCAGCCUCCACCUCCUGGGUUCAGGCGAUUCUCCAACCUCAGCCUCCCAAGUAGCUGGGAAUACAGGCGCCCACUAGCACCCCCGGCUAAUUUUUUUAUUUUUCAUAGAGACGAGGUUUUGCCAUGCUGGCCAGGCUUGUCUGGAACUCCUAACCUCAAGUGAUACGCCCACCUUGGCCUCCCAAAGUGCUGGGAUUACAGGCAUGAGCCACCGUGCCUGGCCUGGAGUUUUGUAAAUUUGCUUAAGCAUGCCCUUGAUGAAGCAACAAAAAUUAUUAGUUUACUAAAUCUCAACCUGUGGACAUAUGUCUUUUUCAAUAUUUUAUGACAAAAUGGGAAGUAUACAUAAAACACUGCUGCAAACCAAAAUACAGUGGUCAUCCCAAGAAAAUCUUCUGAGAUUGUUUUAAGAUGCAAGCUGAACUACCUACUUUUUGAAAGAAUGAUGGACACAGAAAUUAAGGUCAUUCAGACUGGGGUGUUGAGCAGACAUUUUCUCUCAAAUGAACAAAAUGAGGCUACCAUUUCAAGGAACACAACCGACAGUACUUAUUGUCAACCAUAUUCAAGAGAAAAAUUACAAUUUUGAGAAAGCUGUGUCGACUAUGAACUUGACAGCUACUUAAAAACUUUUAUGAUGAAAUUGCUGAUGACAUUGAUGAAUGCCUUUUUAAUUGUAUAGUGAAGUGUGUCAACAUGUGGAAGAUCUGCAUAAUUCAUGGAAUCAGUUUUUCUAAAUGAUUAAUGCACAGGUUAAGAUGUAUCCAAAGCAGAAGAUAGACCAACAGAUCUAAUGGGAACAAUAUGAAAGGUCUAUUGAUAUGGUUUUAGAUUUCAGCAGUCACUUGUCAAGUUUUGAUGUAAUAUCAAGAAGAAUAUCCAUAAUUAUCAGAAAAGCUAUUAAAAUCCUCCUCCCCCUUCCAAUUUCAUAUUUGUGUAAGCCAUAUUUUCUUGACAUACUUCAACCAAAAUAACAUUGCAAAAGAUUGAAUGCAGAAGCAGGUAAGAACUCAAUUGCCUUCUAAUAUAGCCAGAUAUUGAAGAAUCAUACAAAAAUGUAAUUUUUUUGCUUUUGAAAUAAAAAAAUUUGUUUUAAAAAUGAUAGUCUGGGCCAGGCACGGUGGCUGAUGUCUGUAAUCCCAGCACCUUGGGAGGCCAAGGUGGGCAGAUGUACUUGAGGUCAGGAGUUUGAGACCAGCCUGGCCAAAAUG